AAGUCGUAACAAGGUUUCCGUAGGUGAACCUGCGGAAGGAUCAUUACCAUAACAGGCUAUUAUAGCCUAGGCGUUAAGCCAAAUAACCUUGAUAACUUAUGUCUUGUUAAAAUUCGGCAAGUUUUGCUUGCCGGACAACUUAAACUCUUUAACUUUACCUGUAAGCCACAGCUGUCUAAGUAAAUUCUUUAAUUUAAUUAAAACUUUCAACAACGGAUCUCUUGGUUCUG
rnacentral:misc_RNA from 1 species